UACGUAGGGGGCAAGCGUUGUCCGGAAUUAUUGGGCGUAAAGAGCGCGUAGGCGGUCCGAUAAGUCGGCUGUGAAAGUCAUGGGCUCAACCCAUGAAAGCCGGCCGAUACUGUCGGACUAGAGUCCGGAAGAGGCGAGUGGAAUUCCUGGUGUAGCGGUGAAAUGCGCAGAUAUCGGGAGGAACACCAAUGGCGAAGGCAGCUCGCUGGGGACGGUACUGACGCUGAGGCGCGAAAGCG
rnacentral:rRNA from 1 species